UCCUGGCUUAGGAUGAACGCUGGCGGCGUGCCUAACACAUGCAAGUCGAACGAAGCACUUCCGGUUUGAGAUUCGUCAAGAACUGGAUUUGACUUAGUGGCGGACGGGUGAGUAAUGUAUGAGCAACCUGCCUUCAGAGGGGGACAACAGUUGGAAACGACUGCUGAUACCGCAUAAUGUAUUGAGGAGGCAUCUCCGCGAUACCAAAGGAGCAAUCCGCUGAAAGAUGGGCUCAUAUCUGAUUAGUUAGUUGGCAGGGUAACGGCCUACCAAGACUGCGAUCAGUAGCCGGACUGAGAGGUUGAACGGCCACAUUGGGACUGAGAUACGGCCCAGACUCCUACGGGAGGCAGCAGUGGGGAAUAUUGGGCAAUGGGCGAAAGCCUGACCCAAGCAACGCCGCAUGAAGGAAGAAGGUCUUCGGAUUGUAAACUUCUUUUAUGAGGGACGAAGGACGUGGCGGUACCUCAUGAAUAAGCCACGGCUAACUACGUGCCAGCAGCCGC
rnacentral:rRNA from 1 species